AUCCAGAUGAGGAGUUCUCAAUAGGACGAAAUGCACAUCUUGGAU
rnacentral:hammerhead_ribozyme from 1 species